UUUAGCGGCGAACGGUCGAGUAACACGUAACCAACCUGCCCUUAGGUCUGGGAUAGCCCUUCGAAAGAGGGAGUAAUACCGGAUAGCCUCACGGAGAGACAUCUUUUUGUGAGUAAAGGCUAGUACGCCAAAGGAGGGGGUUGCGUCCUAUCAGCUGGUUGGCGGGGUAACGGCCCACCAAGGCGACGACGGGUAGCUGGUCUGAGAGGAUGAUCAGCCGGAUUGGGACUGAGACACGGCCCAA
rnacentral:rRNA from 1 species